CAGGACUCGCAAGACUCCUACAACCCUGUGAACUUUCACUACAAGCACGUUGCUUCGGCGGGUGUCUCGGCGGAGGUCCCCACUUGGGACCUGCGCAGGGGCGCGAAGCCCGCCGGCAGCCUACUAUACUCUGUCUCUUUUGCGUUGGCAUCCUCGAGAAAAAAGCAAACAAGUUUAA
rnacentral:misc_RNA from 1 species